rnacentral:ncRNA from 1 species
GAGAGCCGGAUGCUCGGGAACGGGCACGUCCGGUUCGGCGGGCGGGCCAGGGAGACGGACCGGUCGAGAGACCAGCACCGCGCCCUGGCCCGACCCAAC